CCCUCCCAGCCACCCUUCCCUUGUGGUCUCUUUAAAAUGGGGUACCUAAUGAAAUAAAAAAGUUUCCCCUCUCAAUUCAUGUAAUGUUUUACCUAAUUAACGUUUUGUUAAUUAUGCUAGUAUUGCAAACUUAUGCUAGCAGUCCAAAAACUGUAAACACCAGACAAUUACACCCAUAAAGUUUUGACUUUAUGAUUAUAUUUACUCCGGUAUGUGACGAUAAAUUAGCGUGCUGUAUUUUCAUUUACAAAUUAAACUAUGCAAAUUAUUAAUUAAUCAAUUAAACACUAUAUUAUUUAUAAUUAUAGUCUAUUAAUUAGUCGAAACGUGUUAAAUUCAACCUUUAAACUGCACCCCCAGUAAAAAUUCCUCUAAUAGCAUAAUCAAAGCUUUAUUGCAGGGUUUCCGCGGGUCUUAAAAAAGUCUUAAAAAUUCUUAAAUCACUUUCCCGUGAAUUAAGGACUUGAAAAGGUCUUAAAUCAGAGCAGAAAGUGUUAAAUUCAUAUGAUCAUGGCAUUCAUUUUCGUGAGGGAUUGUUUCCUCAUGCGUUUCAUUUUAAAGUAAAGUGAAGCGAAGGCGUAAUUUCUGUGCUACAUCGCUUAAGUCGCUCAAUAUUCAUUAAAAAAUGCGCGGUAGAUGGCGGUAUUUGCUGCUUCAUCUGUCAGUCACCAGGAGAAGAACUUGUCCUUUUGAAUUUUGUAUAGCAAUAAAAAUCAUUUAGUUUAGUUAGAGAAUAGACAAUACAAUUAAAACUGAACACGGCUGCUCAAUGCAGUGUGCCGAACGACAGUCGCAGAGCAGAUUUCAUUUAUCAUGCACUCUAAAAAGUGCUGGGUUAUUUCUGUAAACACAUUACUGGGUUAUUUGUUCUGGGUCAGAAUUCUGGGUUUUUUUGAGGUACUGUAAACACACAGUUGGGUUGAUCAUGCUGGGUCAAAUGGACUUUCACCACUGAACACGCGGGUUGGGUUAUUUUAACCCAACCGGUUUGUUUAUUUUUCCACUUCAUCGAACUUUCUGGAUUCUUCACUCGUCUCCUCGUCAGGCGGUCACGAAAUUCGCAGCAAGCAGGAUUAUACGGUAAGAUAAUUUGAUUAUAUGAUUAUUUACCUUUAUUUUUAACAAGUUGUGGUUUAAAGCACAUGAUUUCACUGUUUAAUGAAAUAUUUGAUAUGUCGCUGUGCGGGGUUAGGGUUUAUUCUGUGAAUGAUUAACGAACGUUAAGUAGUAGCCUAUAGUGAGGUACUUUCUUGCCUCAACAAUCGCUUCAUUGUUAAAUAAAAGUUGUGUGUGUGCACGUGCAAAGUUUUAUUCAUAUAUAACACACAUGUCCCUUUUUUUAACGCUUCAUGAGAACAGGCAUAGGUUAGAAAUACGGGGUAAGUUCAGUUACUGUCUGCUUACUGUAUGGCAUUGUAAUGUUUUGUCAGAAUUAUGUCAUUUCGUACUAAAAUUGAUCUUUUAAGGUCAUUUUUUUUUCAAGUCAAUGUUUGCGACGUGCCGAAUCCAACGUUAAAUCCGUCAUUGUUAUGUUGUGCAUUUUCGCGCUCUUUUUUUCCUCAGGUAGCUGCAUUAGCUGCGCUAUUCACCUUACUUUAACUCUCGUGGUGUAUAAGCAGUGGUGUAGUGCAGGGUAUACGCAGGUAUACGGCUUAUGUCCACUUCUUUAUCAGUUGGCUUUGCGUGUACCCACUUCUAAUCCCCUCUGCUGCGCAUCGAGAUGUCCUGCAUUAGCCAAAAUCGCGACAGUCCACCACAUGAAUAGCUAAUUUAAUCGCAUAUGAGUAUAUACAAAUAUUCCCUAAAAACACCCGGUAACGACAGUGAUGCGGUCAGAACAGUGGCGCUUCCUUUUAAAUAUAUUUGAUGAUUUGCGCCUAAAUGCGCCCGCGCCCGCUUCAUCCGCUCCUCCACCCAGAUGCUGCUGUUCACACGCGAUGGCUCUGAUACAGAGAAAACCCGACCGAUUUAAUCAGAAACUGUGGAGAAUCACGUGAUCACCUGAUCUGUGUUUGAUGUGCUGCAAACGCAUUAACCUGCUUUCUAUAUAAAAUAAGUUUUGUGAAAUUCUAAUUUUCUAAAUCUGAAAUUUCAUUCUAGAUAUGUGAGAUUCUUGCUGGUGCGGAUGGACAGCUUUGUAAUAGAGAAGUUGAAGGAAAGGCAGCUUGAUACCCUGGUUAAAACCUUUGAAGAUUUCACAAGACUUCAGGAAGCUACAUCCAGAGGCAGACUUUUUGUAGACUGGGCUACAUUUGCAAGAUGGAAAGGUGCAUUAAGACCUGGGUGACAUGACGUCAGGGGAGAGUGCUCAUUCUGUCCUGCCCAUUCUGGAGGAAGGGUCCACAGAACCACAACCACAGAAGUCUGGAAGCCAUUCACUGACAUACAAACCUAUGCAGACCAGCAUGGUGGAUUUGUGCCUAUUGGGGAUGAGACAACGACAUCCCAGACCUUCGCCCUUUGUUAAGGGCCGUGCCACUGAAGCCACUGACUUGUUGUCUGGGAAUUUCUCCAGCUUGCAGUAUAUUUUUGAGUGUUCUGCUGCUGCAAUGUUGACAAAGAAUCGCAAUCUACAGUGCCUAGUUUACACAGUUUUGUGUUUUAAAGUAACUGAUCUACUAAAAUUGUUGUUUUAUGUGUCUUUAAUGGUUGGAUAAAAUGUUUGACAGCUGCA